rnacentral:rRNA from 1 species
UACGUAGGGGGCUAGCGUUGUCCGGAAUCAUUGGGCGUAAAGCGCGUGUAGGCGGUCCGGUAAGUCCGCUGUGAAAGUCGGGGGCUCAACCCUCGGAUGCCGGUGGAUACUGUCGGGCUUGAGUACGGAAGAGGCGAGUGGAAUUCCUGGUGUAGCGGUGAAAUGCGCAGAUAUCAGGAGGAACACCAAUGGCGAAGGCAGCACUCUGGGACGUGACUGACGCUGAGACGCGAAAGCGUGGGGAGCGAACAGG